rnacentral:rRNA from 1 species
GCUGAACGCUGGCGGCAUGCUUUACACAUGCAAGUCGAACGGCAGCGCGGGCUUCGGCCUGGCGGCGAGUGGCGAACGGGUGAGUAAUGCAUCGGAACGUGCCCAGUAGUGGGGGAUAGCCCGGCGAAAGCCGGAUUAAUACCGCAUACGACCUGAGGGUGAAAGCGGGGGACCGAAAGGCCUCGCGCUAUUGGAGCGGCCGAUGUCGGAUUAGCUAGUUGGUGGGGUAAAGGCUUACCAAGGCGACGAUCCGUAGCUGGUCUGAGAGGACGACCAGCCACACUGGGACUGAGACACGGCCCAGACUCCUACGGGAGGCAGCAGUGGGGAAUUUUGGACAAUGGGGGCAACCCUGAUCCAGCCAUGCCGCGUGCGGGAAGAAGGCCUUCGGGUUGUAAACCGCUUUUGUUCGGGAAGAAAUCCUCUGGGCUAAUACCCCGGGGGGAUGACGGUACCGGAAGAAUAAGCACCGGCUAACUACGU